UAAGAUUUGGUUUAAGAUUUUAGAUUUACAUAUGUUGUUUAUAUAUGAAAGUUAUGAUCUAUAAACAACAUAUGUAAAUCUAAAAACUUACACCAAAUCUUAUAUGUUC
rnacentral:miRNA from 1 species